rnacentral:rRNA from 1 species
CGCCUGUUUAUUAAAAACAUAGUUUUAAAAUUUAAUUUAAAAUAUUUUCUGCCCAUUGAUAUUUUUUAAAGGCCGCAGUAUUUUGACUGUGCUAAGGUAGCAUAAUAAUUAGGUUUUUAAUUGAAAUCUUGAAUGAAUGGAAUAAUGAAAAAUAAUCUUUUUUAAUUUUAAUAAUUUAAUUUUAUAUUUUAGUUAAAAAGCUAAGGUUUAUUUAUUAGACGAGAAGACCCUAUAGAGUUUAAUUAUUAUAAUUAAUAUUUAUUUGUUAUUUAAUUUAAUUGGGGAGAUUUUAAAAUUUUUUUAACUUUUUAUUUUUAUUUCAAUAAUUUUUGUUUAUUUGAUCUUUUUUUAUUGAUUAAAAAUUUAAAUUACCUUAGGGAUAACAGCAUAAUUUUUUAAAGAAGUUCUUAUUUUUUAAAAAGUUUAUGACCUCGAUGUUGGAUUAAAUAAUUUUUAUUUGAAGAAAAUUAAAUUAAUAAGUCUGUUCGACUUUUAAAG